rnacentral:rRNA from 1 species
CCUACGGGUGGCAGCAGUGAGGAAUAUUGGUCAAUGGACGAGAGUCUGAACCAGCCAAGUAGCGUGAAGGAUGACUGCCCUAUGGGUUGUAAACUUCUUUUAUAUGGGAAUAAAAUGUUCCACGUGUGGGAUUUUGUAUGUACCAUAUGAAUAAGGAUCGGCUAACUCCGUGCCAGCAGCCGCGGUAAUACGGAGGAUCCGAGCGUUAUCCGGAUUUAUUGGGUUUAAAGGGAGCGUAGGUGGAUUGUUAAGUCAGUUGUGAAAGUUUGCGGCUCAACCGUAAAAUUGCAGUUGAAACUGGCAGUCUUGAGUACAGUAGAGGUGGGCGGAAUUCGUGGUGUAGCGGUGAAAUGCUUAGAUAUCACGAAGAACUCCGAUUGCGAAGGCAGUUCACUGGACUGCAUCUGACACUGAGGCUCGAAAGUGUGGGUAUCAAACAGGAUUAGAUACCCUAGUAGUC